rnacentral:rRNA from 1 species
UACAGGGGGGGCGAGCGUUGUUCGGAAUUACUGGGCGUAAAGGGCGCGUAGGCGGCCUGUUAAGUCGAACGUGAAAUCCCCGGGCUCAACCCGGGAACUGCGUCCGAUACUGGCAGGCUUGAAUUCGGGAGAGGGAUGUGGAAUUCCAGGUGUAGCGGUGAAAUGCGUAGAUAUCUGGAGGAACACCGGUGGCGAAGGCGGCAUCCUGGACCGAUAUUGACGCUGAUGCGCGAAAGCCAGGGGAGCAAACGGG